rnacentral:rRNA from 1 species
UACAGGGGGUGCAAGCGUUAUUCGGAUUUACUGGGCGUAAAGCGCGUGUAGGCGGUUUGGUAAGUCUGGUGUGAAAUCCCCGGACUCAAUUCGGGAAGUGCAUUGGAUACUGCCAAACUAGAGUACAGGAGAGGAGAGUGGAAUUCCUGGUGUAGAGGUGAAAUUCGUAGAUAUCAGGAGGAACAACAGAAGCGAAGGCGACUCUCUGGACUGUUACUGACGCUAAGGCGCGAAAGCGUGGGGAGCAAACAGG